CCAAGAAGCAGGCCGAAGGCCAGGCCCCUUGUUGUAAGGUUUCCCUGGUCUGUGCUCCUGUUUACACCCUCUCUGACUCCCACGGGGCCUAGACUUGAUCUAAGAGCCUUCCUCUCCCCCCCGCCCCUUUAUGCCAACAAAAGCACACCCAUCAGACCAUUGUGAAAAGCCAUGGCUGGUUCUGAGCUUUGAGGUUUAUCCUUUACUGGAAAGAGUCUUUUCCCAUCCUCAUUUGGUCUUUUCCACAACAAUAAUAAUCAAUAGGGUGAUUAUCCCCAUUUCAAGGAAAUGGAAACUGAAAUUUGGCCAGGCUGGGCUCCACGUAAACCCAGCUGUCGCCAGGUGACAGGUGUGGUGGGCUGAGUCGUCUGCCAUCCAUAAAACUUCCCGUGGUGGAGUUAUCUCCACCGGGCUAUGCAGUCGCCCACAAAUUGGCUUUCUGUUAGUUUCCAGGUAACCUCCCAGAAGUUCUUGUAUUUGACAGUCUGCCCUCCCUGGUGACUUCUUCCAUGAGCCCUCUACUCGUGGAGACCAGAGCUGCCCUAAGUUAGGGUCAUGGCUGUACAAGGGAGAUUUACAAACAUUUUUUGCAUGACCCAUGGUAGGGACCUCCCUGGUGGCCCAGUGAUUAAGAAUCCACCAGCUUCCAAUGUAGAAGAUGCAGGUUCGAUCCAAGGUUUGGGAACUAAGAUCCCACGUGCCACGGGGCAACUAAGCCCACAAAACAACUACCGAGCCCUCGCAUUCUAGAAUCCAUGCUCCUGCAGCAAGAGAAGCCCUCAUAUCAAAACUAGAGAAAGCCUGCUUACUGCAGUGAAGAUCCAGUGCAGCCAAAAUAAGUAAAAGAGCAGAAAAAAGAAACACAUGGCAACUGGAUAUACAGCACACCUACUAAAGCAAUCAUGGAACAACACUUAUCCUUAACACAUGUGAUGCACUCUGGUUUUUUUCUAGUCCUUUUUUUUAAGAAGCUGGUUGCACCCUCUUUAAAGGACUUUAUAAAUCACGAGUAGAUUGCAACCUACUGUAAAAAACACUGCUCAGGAGAAAAUCAAGCCCUUCAUGGGAAACAGAGAAGCAGGGCUUGUGAGGUCCUGCGCAUCUCUGUCGUUAAGAGCAACACAGGGGCACAGAGUGCUUACGACUUGACCCUCAAAAGCUCUGUAAGAGGGAAGCCAUCUGCAGUGGAAAUGUGAAGGGCUCUUUCCAGAUUCUGGCUCUUUUCAGAUUCUCGUCUCCCAGGGCAUCAUGACAAAUCAAACACUGUUUCUGGGAAGGCCGUGCACAGAGAGUGUGCUCACAGCUUCAGAGGGGAAGAAAGCACACAGAGAGACAUGUGGGCUGCGCAGGGCUGGAAGAGAGUUUUCAUCCCUUCCAGACAAGAGAACAUCCUAACAGCCUGCAGUUACUCCACUCUGGAUCACAUUUGCUUUGGAGGCAAAAUAUCAUUUGAGUGAUCUCCUUUAUCAUACACAACUCAUCAUCAGGCUUCAGCUGCAAAUUGUGAAGACAUAGCAGUAAGCUCUUCAGGAGCAGUGAGCUCCUUUCUUUGAAAAUCAUCCAGUCCUCAGGCUUCCAUCUGCCACCUGUGGGUCUGCCUUCCUCCCUGGGGCGUCAUCAGACUUUCUCGGCAGAGGCCAGAGAGUAAAUAUUUCAGUCUUUGUGGGCCAUACAGCCUUGAGACUACUCAGCUACACAUUUGUAGCUUGGAAGCAGCCAUAGGUAACACAUACAUGAAUGGACAGGCUUUGUUUCAAUAAAACUUUAUUUAACAAGCCGGUGAAUCCUGCCAAGCCCUGCUCUUGAAUGGCAGUUCUCAGAUUGUCAUGUACAGAUGUGAGAGUUGGACUGUAAAGAAGGCUGAGUGUCGAAGAAUUGAUGCUUUCGAUUUGUGGUGCUGGAGAAAACUCGAGAAUUCCCUGGACUGCAAGGAAAUCAAACCAGUCAAUCCUAAAGGAAAUCAACCCUGAAUAUUCAUUGGAAGGACUGAUGCUAAAGCUGAAGCUGAAGCUCCCAUCAUUCAGCCACCUGAUGCAAACAGCCAACUCACUGGAAAAGACCCUGAGGCUUGGAAAGAUUUAAGGCAAAAAGUAGAAUGAGGCAGCAGAGGAUGGGAUGGUUAGGUAACAUCACUGAUGCAAUGGACAUGAAUAUGAGCAAACUUCAGGAGAUAGUGGAGGACAGAGGAGCCUGGAGGGCUACAGUCCAUGGGGUGCUAAAGAGUCAGACACCACUCAGCGACUGAACAACAACAAAUCUCAGAUUGUGGUACACAAGCCCUCAUCCCCUGGAACACUGGAUUAUGUUGGAAGGUUUUGCAUAUCCACAAGCCUGUUGCUCAUGACAGAAGGCAGACUCUCCUAAAAAGGAAUUUAGAAUUUAAAUAAUAAAAGUAAUAUAGGCAAUUGAUCUGCCUCGGCAGAGCUGUGAGGGACUCUCUCAGGAUGAAUAGAAAGGAUAUUAAUUCUAUCAGUGCCAAGGUAUGAUUGGAGAGUUGGAGUGAUAGGGUGAGACCUUGAAGGCAAAGCCAAAUUUAAGGUGGAGCCGGGGAGUCAAGCUCUUUCUGAGAAGUAACUGGAGAUUCUCAGCCUUGAAUGUUCAAAACAGAGGCACAGACUAUGUUACAACAUCUCGAAAGUCCCCAAGAUAGAAGCCUGUACACAGAGACUAAUAGUUUAUCUCACUGUGACAGAUACCAACUUUAAAUAUUGCAUUAGGAGAACAAAAAGACCUGAGCAGAGCUGCAUAGAGGUCUGGAAGAGAGUUCCAAGUGAAUAGUUUAAAAAUUGGCCCAGGGACUUCCCUCAUGGUCCAGUGGUUAAGACUCCUUGCUUCCAAUGCAGGGGACUCAGGUUGGAUACCUGGUCAGGGAACUAAGAUCCCACAGGCUGCUUGAUGUGGUCAAAAAAUAAAUUAAAAAAAAAACAAAAACACAAACAUUGGUUGGUCCUAAGACAUUUAUAACUCAUCCAUUACUUCUUGAUGGGACCAAGAUGGAGGUCAACUAUGGGGGAGACAAAAUAUGUUACUACUAAGGAGAAAGUCCAGGAUUUCCCUGCUCGUCCAGUGGUAAAGCAUUUGCUCCCUUGUUCAGGAUGAUUCCACAUGCCUUGGGGUAACUAAGCCCUCCGGCCAAAACUACCGCAACUAGAGAGUAGCCCCUGCUCUCUGCAACUAGAGAAAGCCUGCAUGAAGACCCCGCUCAGUUAAAAAUAAAUCAAUAAAUACAAUCUGAAGGAAAAAAAAAAAACAGAAGAAGAAAGAUCCAGAAAGAAAUAAGCAUUUGGAGUCAUCACCCCAAAUUUGCUGAAAAGCAUUCUUUGUUUUUUUUUUAAAUUUUUAAUUGGAGGAUAAUUGUUUCACAGUGUAGUGUUGGUU
ensembl:lncRNA